GAGUUUGAUCCUGGGUCAGGACGAACGCUGGCGGCAUGCCUAAUACAUGCAAGUCGAACGCCAAAUCUUCCUGCUUGCAGGAAGAGGCGGAGUGGCGAACGGGUGAGUAACACGUGAGGAACUUGCCCAUAAGAGGGGGAUAACACCCGGAAACGGGUGCUAAUACCGCAUAGGUUUUCCCAGUGCAUGCUGGGAAAAUGAAAGGUGGCUCUGCUACCGCUUAUGGAUAGCCUCGCGGCGCAUUAGCUAGUUGGUAGGGUAAAGGCCUACCAAGGCCAUGAUGCGUAGCCGACUUGAGAGGGUGAUCGGCCACACUGGAACUGAGACACGGUCCAGACUCCUACGGGAGGCAGCAGUAGGGAAUCUUCCACAAUGGGUGCAAGCCUGAUGGAGCAAUGCCGCGUGAGUGAAGAAGGACUUCGGUUCGUAAAGCUCUGUUGUUGGGGAAGAACACGGAUAGGAGUCACUGCCCAUCCCUUGACGGUACCCAACCAGAAAGUCACGGCUAACUACGUGCCAGCAGCCGCGGUAAUACGUAGGUGACAAGCGUUGUCCGGAUUUAUUGGGCGUAAAGCGAGCGCAGGCGGUCCGGUAAGUCUGAUGUGAAAGCCCACGGCUCAACCGUGGAACGGCAUUGGAAACUGGCGGACUUGAAUGUGGCAGAGGAAAGUGGAAUUCCAUGUGUAGCGGUGGAAUGCGUAGAUAUAUGGAGGAACACCAGUGGCGAAAGCGACUUUCUGGGCUAUGAUUGACGCUGAGGCUCGAAAGCGUGGGGAGCGAACAGGAUUC
rnacentral:rRNA from 1 species